UCCCUGGUGGUCUAGUGGUUAUGAUUCUGCUCUGCCAAUGCAGAGGGUGUGGGUUUGAUCCCUCACCAGGGAA
rnacentral:tRNA from 1 species